UCUUUAAUCUUCACCAGCACAUGUAACCUUUGUUAGAGAAUAAUUAUGUUAUUUCGAGUUAAUAAUAGUCCAAAAGGCGAUGAUAAUAGUUUAACGUGGCAGAUUGUUCAUGUUUUAGGUUGCUGAAAUAAUCAUUUUCUCAUUUUUUACUUUUUUCAUGCUUCACUCUCGGGUUUGACUGUUUCUGAAAGGAACAGAUGUCAGAAGCACUUCAAUAAUAACGCACACAUUAUUAUCAUCAGUUCAAGAAGUUCGCUAUUUCAAAUACAGAUGUGCACACCAGUGAUCGCGAGCUCCUUGGAGAAAGUGAAACCGCUUGCACUUUUAGACGGCCUCGUAAAACAAAAACAGGACACGGCGAAUUUUGUUCUUCUUAACUUUGUGGCUGUAUAACAAACGACAAGGUUUGUUUGAGCUCGGGUCAACCAUGGCUCGUUAUUAUAUGCAUAUAAUAUUACUGUGUAAUGUCUCGGAUGUGUAUUUGAAAAUGGCAGUUUCUUUGUUUUCAUUUUCCUGCUUGUGUACGCGUGAUUGACGUUUCUCUGUAAACCAAUAGCAUUCAGAUGUGCAUCUAGCUCUGCCUUUUAGUACCCUUCUGACAUGCUAGGUACUCUUUGCAAAGAGUACCCAAAAAGUGGUACGGUUCGAUUCGCUUUUAGGUACAUUUUAACAGCAGAAACGGCCAUAAAAGCGUACCGAACCACUUAGUGGAAACGGGCCAUAGGAUAAUGGUAACCAUCGACAUCCAUAGUACUUGUUUUCCUACUUCGGGAGUCAGUGGUUUUCAUCUUUAUUCAAAUGUUCAACUUGAAAAAAGAAACUCAUAAAGGUUUAUAACUACCUGACAGAGAGCAAAUAGUGAUUUGAAUUUUCGGGUGAACUAUCUUUUUAAGCCUCAAAUAUGCCACUCUGUAACUGUAACAGAACAACUGCAAAGUAACGAUUUUGUUCUGUCUCUUAUCUGUCUGGAGAAUCCUGCAGGGCACAAAAUUUGAGGCUGCACUUUGGAACCACAUCUGAACCUGUGCUGCAGGCAAGAAAUUAGGCACCUUUUGUUCUCCUUCCCUGAAGAAACGUGACACUGCGGCUCCCCCUCCACCGCCCCAGAGCACAUGACAGGAGGUUUCAACAGGUCGGCGUCUUCUGCUGAACCACAUGGUCUGCUUACAGUCUGUGUGUUUAAUUUUCCAAACGGCCCAGCGUGAGGAUGUCGCAGGCCAGGAAUCACAUUUCUGACAGAGAUGAGACUACUGUGCGAGCUGAUUUCCUUCACAGCUGUUACUCGCUAGCUUUCCAGGUGCCAAUGACAAAUACACGCGGGACAGAUUGCUGUUAAACUUUACUGGAAGAAGGCAUUCAAGCGUGCCAAAUAGGUUCCCUGCUUGCAUACCUUUGCAAAGGAUGACUGGGCAUUUGAUAUACGAGCGCUUUAGACUUGGUUUGGGAUUAUGCUGCAAAUAAUGUACACAAGGUCUAAAAAGUGCGAAUCUCUUUUCGGUUUGCUGUAUAUCUUUCAAUUUCAGUCUGAUGAUGCAAGCAAGUAUAUGAUUAUGAGUUUGGCCUGUGGCGCAAUAUAAAAAUGAGAUGACAGACAGGCAAGAGACGAACAACUGCGUUCCAUUCAUUUGUAAUUGUUGUUUAGUUAUGGCUGUAUCUCUAGCGGGUAAAUAUAACACAUAAAUUAACCAAACGCAACAGCCAAGUUCUUUUGGCACAGCUCUUUGGGUUUGUUUAUUUGUACGCAAUUAUAUUCGGACAUGAAAUUGUUGAAGGCGAAAAGCCUGUAGUCAUAUCUGUCCAAGUUUCACACAGCGUGUCCGAGCAGAAAGUCUCCCUUGAGAUCAUUGGCAAAUCGGCAGAAUUUGCCAAUCCUGGAGCUAAAUGACAGUCUGGCAUCACCUAUUGUACUUGGCUCGAAAUGUUAAAUCUUUAAACUGUGAGUGCCAGAAUUCAAGCCUAUGAAGGUAUUUCAAUGCUAUGUUUGUAUAACUGUGCGUAUUGGGGGAAUAAAAAUGGAUCAGGAGGACAGCGAGCCAAAAGUCUCUGAAUCCUAAUGCGGGCAAGGACGCUUGACCUCUCUCCCUCUUUCUCUCCCUCUCUCCGUCUGUCCUGCCCAGCUAGUAAAACCACGCUGAAACCGAAUACCACAGGAGGCUAGAAGCGUCCCUCUAAAUUCAUCCCCAUGCUUGACGAACAGCUCUUGAUAGAUUGGCUCCACAGACAUUCUGCUGAAUCACAAGGGCUCGACUGUGUGCCCACUGCAAUCACCGAAGGGGUAAACCAGCAACCGCACUCAUCAGAGACCUUCAGAUUGAGACAAACAGGUUUCUGCACCUGUGUGUGAGGGGGUUGUAUUUGUGUACAAAUGUUCAACCAUUUCAAAGUCUAAUACGUGAAGUCUACAAGGCAGUUCUGUAUACUCAUGUGGCGCUUCUGUUCGUGUAGCUCAACUAGUAGAGCACUGAGCUGUGAACCCUGAAGCUGAGAGUUCGAAUCCCAGGGAGAGCAUGAAUAGAAGCAUCUGUCAAAUGCAUACAUGUAAAUAAACAUGCACGCUGUGCACAA